rnacentral:piRNA from 1 species
UUCCAGAGGCUCCACUUGCCCAUAACCCACAAUAUUCUGGGUGGGAAGGCCUGCUCCUUCCUCCAGUGGGUUCAUGUCCGCGGGCAAGGGCCAACGUCCGUUGACGUUACCAAGCUCCGCCAUGAUGCGGGAUGCCGCUAGGCCUGAUGAUGGGUAGGCCAUGUACAGCCAGUGAGUGUUCUGGCCAAACGUCCAUACCAACCAGGGGUGUUGUUGUUGGCAACGGCAUACUCUAGGCUUGGCAUUGUGAAGAUGUAUUUCACUCCGCCUAAAGACGCGGCGUCACCCAAUCCGGAGAGGAAGAGGGAUAUUCGCUCCGGGAAGUGGGUUCCAGCAUACUUCAUUGCGCGGAUUAAGUCUCUCCCAGGGACUGUGGUACCACGGGGGCUCAAAUCUGAGAGCUCGAGAACCCUCGCGAUGGCUUGAAGCCCCACGUAAUAUGCAAAUGUCCCGGGGGAAAUCCUUUUGGCGAAGGAGGCGCCGGAUGCAGUGAGGCGCAGGUAGGUUUCCUCCACCAAGGUGUUCCACCCGAAGAACCCUGGACACACAUAUAGUCAGGCUCAGGGUACAAGUUCGAAUCCUGGGCAACACCAAGUGCCUCUUUCCAGAGAGGGUCAUUUCUGAGCGGUGUAGAUGUCAUGGAGGGGUGCGCAGGUUUGGGCAUCUCUAGGAUGCGCUCCUGACCCCUCAGGGGUGGUGGCGCCGUAGCUGCGGAGUCCACCCGGCCUUUUGACUUUCCUUUCCCCCCUCGGAAGGGGCGGAAGGGAGGAGCUGACUAAUUGUCCUCAGUCUGUGACUGACGGCUGCCACCGCCACGCCACUCGGCCUGUGCUUGGUUGGAAUCAUCAGACUGAUUCCAAGCUUUCCCCCAGUUCUUCCCUUUUCCUUUUGACAUUUUAAAGGCGUAGCCGUACAAUUGCCGUCGGGCCACACAGGAAGUAGCACAAAGUUACUUAAAGGCAGAAAAAUUUCUUAAGAUAGGGAUCGCCGUCUGGCUAACCUAAUUUACCAAGUAAAAUGUAUGUAUGUAUGUAUGUAUGUAUGUAACACGUAAAACACUAUUUAUUUACUCUUCAAUUACAGGUCAAAGAAGAAAGGGGUCAAGGAACAAUUGCGGAAAAGACGAUAUUGUGAAUAAGGAGAGCUAUGGUACAAUUCUUGGUGCGGUCACAAUAUCAGGCUUCCAAAGAUUAUUGAAUUUUCCAAACGGAAAAAACCUUUCCAGAUUCGCCAGGAAUUCACCAUCGAUGUCGCAUCAACGAGAUCUAAAUGGUCGAUUCCCGAUUGGGACGUAGGCCCCAAGUCGGGUUCUUUCAUGAAUUCGCGAUAUAGAACUUGCGACAUCUUCCAACUGGUCCGGGUCGGAUUAUCCUCCAUAUGUGCAGAUGGUGGAGGCGGAGGUGUGGCCAUGGUCGGUGUCGACUCAUUUUCUUGUAGUCUGCACCUUGACCAGGCUGCUUCCCCGUGUACACUUCUAUGUUGCAGGCAUAUCCUGAACUUGAUUCACAAAGUUCAAAUAUCUUGAUCCCAUAUUUGUGUGGCUUUCCUUUGAUAUAUAUUCUGAACCGUAUUCUUCCUCUAAAAGGACAUAUAGCUUCGUCAAUAGUCAAAGGUUGGCAGGGAUAGUAAUAUGUUUUGAAUUUGUGGACCAGAGCAUCAAGGAAUGUCCUAAUUUUAUGGAGAGGAUCAUGGCCUGGUUGACCAAAAGCCACAUAGGAAGCGUUGUCAUUUAGGUGAAGCAUGGAGAGAAUGGCUUCAAACCGUGGUCUGAUCAUCCCCACAUCUCUGCAGUAAGUUGUCCUAAGUUCACUGCGGGUUGACCAAUAAUCUUUCAAUCUGGUCUUUACAACAAGGCUCAUGUGAAUUAUUAUAGCCAUAAAUAUCUUGAGCUCAGACACAGAAAAAGCUUUCCACAUUUCUAAAUGACUCCUAGGAUUCAAAGGAUCCUUUUUUCUUUCUCUGUCUAUGGUUGCCCUAGCAUAGCGGUUAGUCUCAAGUUUCAGAUUACCAAAAAAAUCCUCAUCAAUAAAUUUUUUGAAUAUCUGGUAAGGAGAGUUGGGUUCUGGAAAUAACUCGGCCCUUGGUCCAGGUUGGGCAGUAAACAGAGGUCUGGGUAUCGUGGAUGUAGUAGUUUCAAUCCAGUCAUCACUUACCAGAGGAGACCUUGUUGUUGCAGGAGCCUCUUCAUCUCUUGGUCCCCAACAUAUAUUUCUGUUGAAUCCGAAUCAAUAUCUUCAUCAGAGUUAGCAUGGAGUGUGAAAUCUGGAUCCUCAAAAGAAUAAUCUAAUUCUGAUCCAGAAUCAAAAAGAUGGGGGUCAUAAAUCUCCCACUCUGGAGAUGGGCAAGAGGAGAAAACUUUGGAUGUACUGGGCUGAUCAGGAUUCAUUUUUAUCCAAAAAUGUCUAUUGAAAAUAUCUAGAAACUUCAAAUAAAAAUAUUAAGCAAAAAAAAAAAAGUGACAAGAAGAAGCGCGCAAAGUACAAUUGCCAAAUAACGGCAGAUUAAAAAUAGGUCAGUAGAGGUUGGGAGGGGAGGAAACUUGAGGAAGCACGCGCUCAAAACUCAAUUUAAUUGGUCAGCCAUCCACCCUAUCAUGUGGCAAAGUGGUGGAUGACCUUGAGGCAUGUUUAAACUUGCAGGAGGGCAAGUGGCCACGGGACGUAGCGCCCGCUAUGAUUUUAUACCGAUUUUUAAGAAAGUAGGGCGUUAAUAUACGUCCUGCGGGCACUGUGCCAUUUUCGCGAGGACGUUAAUUGACGUCCUGUGUCCUCGAAGUGUUAAAUUUAAAAAUACAAAUUAUUUUAACAAUUAAAUUUACAAAUAACAUAGUAUCCUAUAUUUAAUGAAAAGAUGAUCAUCUCUAACAAUCGGCUCCAUGAUCAUCAUUUCUCAUGAUUACAACAUCAUAACUCUAUUUACACAAAAGUACAAUGAGAUAGAAUGAAAUAAACAGGACAACACAGUGAAGGAAUUUACAGUGUUGGGGUUGUCACUGCCGUCAUAGUCCUUCAGUACUCUGAAGGCGAAGACGGCCAGGCAAGGGAUGGACUUGUAGAUGUAGUGGGUGUCCUGGGUCACACAGCCAAACCAGCCUACGACGGUGUUAGUUUCGAAGGUCCGGGUGGGCAGCCGCAGCUGCACAAGGCCUCCGCUGGGUAGGGUCACAUUCCCGAAACCCAUGACGUAGUCAUGGACGGGCUCUGGUAGUGGGUAGUCGGCUUCGACCACCCUUUGGACAAAAUCCCUCUCCUCCAGGGACUCCAGGAACUGGUUCUUCCCGUGGAUGAAAAGGAGGCGGGCGUAAAGCACCACCUCACAAUAGUAAGCGAAAGCCGACUCAGGGACGGCUCUUCCAAAAGUGGGAGUCUUGGCCACAAUGGCAUUGUACACCUCAUGAAUGAGGUGGCUGAACCCGUCGGCCCCCGGGAUGGAAGAUGUUGGGUUGGGGCGAGGGGCGCAGGUCAUAGCCAGGGUGUGGGAAGAAUGCUUCCUUCCACAGGCACUCAUUGGUGACCGUGAGCUGGUCUUGGAGAUGUGUUGCGGGGCUGGGGGCCCCUAUUGUUGUUGUGGCGGCUUCUUGUUGUUGGUGUUGUCAUGUGGUCCGCCACCACCGCGCGACUGGUUGGAGCUUGGUUUUCCACCUCCAGCAGGAGCUCCACGCUGCUGGUUUCGUCGGCCGCCUCCGCGGCCUCCCCACCUCCUUGGUCACCACGUGACCAUUGGUCUCUGGGGGUGGGCGUGAGGACUGUUCGUCGUCGUCCUCAUCACGAUGGCUCUGAGAAGAGCCUUUGGAUUCGAAGACUUUAGUCUUCUGAUAACGCAACAUUUUCUGAGAAAUGUUUUAUUAGCAAUUGAUAAUGGUAGGGUCGGGUACUGCCUAGUCCACUAGGUAGUCCACUAUGUAUGUAUGUAUGUAUGUAUUAACUAAAGAAUAAUUUUUAAUAACCAAUUUUAGUAAUAUUAAGGUUUAAGUAGUUUGUCUGUCAUGACAGUCAUCUCCAAAAAUGUCUCGGAGGCUCCAAGAUCCUGGUUGAUUUCGCUCUGGAAAUCCUCAAGCUGAGCCAAGAAGAAAGGCCUUUUGUCCUCGAACUCAGGAUAUAUUUGUAGUAGUUCCUGGUAGCUCUUGGUCUGGGACAGGUGGCAUAAAAUGAAGAUGGCUGGCGUUGGAGGGGGAAGUUGGCCAACCAGUUGAAUGACUGUUCCAUCAGGUACCCAAUUCUUUGGGCGUCAGAUCCUUCAAGGUUUCAGCCACUGUCUCCCUUAUCUGGUCUGAUGAAUUAAUCAUUUCCAGGAUGAUGGAGUGGGAAGUUUCACCCGAGUCCAACGGCAGGGCCAGUUGGAGAGCCAUGCUCCAACGGCGGUCGUGAAUGCAUUGCGAGAUUUCUUGUUGCGGAUAAUUUGAAUUUGCCUUUUCUUCCAUUUUUCAAAUAUAUAUAAAUAUAUAUUUUAAAUCUUUAUAAAAUAUUUAUUUUGUAAACAAAGUAUGUUUUGUAUGUAUGUAUGUAUGUAUGUAUGUAUAUGUAUGUAUGUAUGUAUGUAUGUAAGUAUGUAUGUAUGUAUGUAUGUAUGUAUGUAUGACAAUUGACAAUUAAAUAAUUUUAUUGACUUUUAGUCAAUGAUUACACCCAAAGUCAAUGGGAGAAAGUACAAAAAUUUACAAUAAUCUUGAUUCUGUUAGGAGCGCAGAGCCAGCCUGAGCUCGUAUAUUCCCCUUUGAAUUAAGGGUGGUCAUCGUGAGCAUGUUCGGCGACAGUGCCGAGAAACUCGGCGAGAGUGGCUUUGUGUCUGGGUCUAGAUCUGAGAGACUUGAGGAGGUACUCCCUACUCUUGAGCCACACGAUCGAAUGUGAGAGGUUGUCAAUAUCUAGCCCCUUCUUGAGUAGGGGCCCCAAGGCCUGUUGAUAGUUCUGCUCUUUGAACAGGUCAAAUAUCCGGUCUACGCACUUAGUCUCCAGCUCCACCUGGGUCAGGAAUGGCAGUGGAGGCGGAGGUGUCGCCAUGGCCGGUGUUAGCUCUUCCCCAUGGGGAGUGGGUGGUGUCGGCUCAGCGAGCCGAGGCGCAGGCGGUGGGGGUGCACAACGCUCUUUUUCCGUCAUCGGAUUGUCCUCCUCCAUCUCCGUCGGGGCGGGCGGCGGAGGUGUCAUCACAGCAGGCAUCAGUUCUUCGCUGUGGGAAGUAGGCGCCGUUGGCCCAGAAGGCCGAGGCGCAGGCAGUGGGGGUGUUGAAGGCACUGCAGUAGGGGCGGUCCUCAGCUCUGACAAGACCUGACGCAGGACUUUAUAGAUGUUACUAUCCCCUCCGGGCCUCUGGCCCAAGAGUUGACGGAUUAGGCCGGCGAGAGCGCCGCCCUGCGAGGGUGACAGGAGGGGUCCCCGCUUCCGAGCCUUGGUCUUUGAGGAGAGGAUGUCCAAGACCUCCUCCCGCCCGAGGCCAAGGGCGUCCGUCUGGGCAAAGGAGACGCCCGGAUUCCUCUCGAUGAAAGUCACGAGGCCUUCUCUCGUUGAUGUUUUUGACGAGGAUGUGGAGGAUGUAGAAAUCUCCUCGAUGAUGGACAUCUCAACGUCCGGUGUUGGGGCUGCAGGCACGUGACUCACAGGUGCCCGCAGGGACGGAGCAGGGGUCACAGGUGGAGGGGCAGGAGACGCCUCCUCCAUAGGUAAGGUCGGGGCCGCUGGUGGAGAUGGCCGAGGUGCUGUAGAUGGAGUCACAGCUCGGGCGGCAGGAGAAGCGCCAGAAUCCUCGACAGCUGGACUGGGAGGUGCUGGCGCAGGCGCGGCCGAGAACCGUUUAGGCAGUCCAGGCGCGGUCAGUGGUUGGAGUUUGUUGGGAGAGGGCGGUGGAGCCCGUCUGGAGGUGGUGGACUGCCCGUGGAGAAGGGGGCAGUUGGCUCUUCUGUGUCCCUGUCCGUGGCAUCUAGAGCAUUUGAUGCCAUAUGUAAGGUAGGCCGGCCAGGCCUCACCUUUAAUUUUAAUUUCAAAGCGGGUGGGAAGCUUGUCAACGGUAACGCCGUCGUGGAGGAGAAUAAAAGCCUCCCGACGGCCGUCAGUGAAGUCAAAUUCGCCAGCCCUUAGCAGUUUGGGGGCGAUCGAGGUGAUUCGUCCAAAUCGGGAGAGGGCAUUGAUCACGGCGGCGUCCUCCACAAAGAAGGGUAGGUUCCCUAUUGUGAUUUUGAUGGAGCUCUUCCUAAAGGGGAAGGUUCUAAUGAGGGUUCCCUCGGCCUCAAGGCCCUCCCGGAUCAGCCGUUCCGCCAGGGAUCUGCUGGUGAGUCCCAGCAAGUAGUGCCCAUUUACCUUGGCAAAUUGGACAACGUUCUUGGAUCCUCCGACGACUCUUUCAAUGGCUUUUAGGUAUUGAUAUGUCUGAUAGUCCGGGCAGUACUCCAGGUAGAGGCACUGCUCCUCGUUGCAGGACGCCUGGCGAGCUCUGGCUUCCACGAUGUGCGCCCUCGUGGUCCUGAUCUCCUGGACCUGCCGCACCCAUGUAGGCGAGGAUCUCCGUCGCCCAGUAGCCGAUCCAGCGCCGUUGGACUGUGCGGCCGUAACGCCCGGCGCUCCCGUGUUGCGGCGUUUUCUUUUGUUUGAACGACCGGUAAAGUCGUCUCCAGAAACAGGACCUUGAUCCUCAGAUAUUUCCGCCCAGUUCUGUCGGCUUGGAAGUGCGCCAGUACGAAGGCAUUGUAGCGGCAAAUUCGUGCGACACGGCAGAUUUUGCAUAUCGUUCGCUAGUAGGCAGAUUUGCAUUACUGGCCGAUUCUUGCAUUUCGAUUGAAUUGUCAAUCUGCAAUUGGUUUUUCGCAGAUAUUUCCGCAUCGGUUUGAGAUAUUAAGCCGUGCCUUACAGGCAAUUGAUCGGCAUCAAAUGGGGCUAUCUGCCCAUACCAAACUUGACGUGGCACCAACGUUCAUACACACCCGCCAGGGUGGAAAAAAAGGCGGAGCUCGACCAAAGCGUGCCGCACGGCCGUGUAUGUAUGUAUGUAUGACAAUUAAAAAUUAUUUAUUGUCUUCUAGACAAUAUUACAUAUUUUUAAACAAAGAGAGAGAGAGAAAUAUAUUACAUAAAGGAGUAGAGGAAAUAUACAAUAUGAAACAUAUUUUACAAAUUUACAUAGGAAGAAGGAGAUCUCUGCACUGGAGGGUCCUGGACCAGGCGAUGAGCGGGGUCCUCCACUGCUCCUCCGAGCCCAACCUGGACAAAGUAGCAAUAAACUCGCAACUUGCCGACGCCAGGAUGGAAAGGGCGUUGUCCUCAAGGCCGGACCCGCCGAAGAUCCAAGCCUGCAGGAGGCCAGGGGGCCGCCCUAUGAUGUUGAAGGCCUCUCUGAUGAGAGGCCAGAUGGUACGGCAGCACCAGUAACGGUGGCCGAGGGAGCGGUCCGGUGGAGAGGUUGGGGGUCUCUGAUGUAUUUCUGCAGCUGAUUGUAUGCGCGGCGCUUCUGGGAAGACGUGGAAGAGGUUGAAAUUUCCUCCUCGCCCGUUAUCUCGCAGUCGAGCGGUAGGGUCCCAGCCCCGGGGGGCAGCGAGAGGAGCAGGGUGGGCAGCAGGGGCGGGCUGGGCGAGAUCCUUUGGGUUCGGCUAGGGCGCCGAGGGAUUGCAGGAGCCCCCGGUUGAUGUCUCCGCCGGUGGAACAGGGGACGCCGAUGUAGCAGCGCAGGUGCGGGUUUCUUUGGCUUCUGAGGGGGAGGAGGAGGGGGCAUGUGUCGGUGGGAGACCUUGCUUGCCUGGGGCUGCUGUUCUGCCUGGUGAGUGCUGGGCAGUUGGCUCUGCGGUGGCCUUGUUUCCCGCAUUUUGAGCACUUGAUGCCAAAGGAGAGGAAGGCAGGCACGGAGUCUCCUUUGGACUUGAUGUCCAGGCGAGUGGGUAGCCUGUCCAGUUUGAUGCCGUCGUUGAGCAGGAUGAAGGCCUCCCGGCGGCAGUCGGUGAAGGUGAACUCCCCCAUUUUGACCAGGAUGGGGGCGAUGGAGGUGACCUUCCCGUAUGGGUACAGAGCGUGUCCUGACGGCGCUGUCCUCCACAAAGCCGGGCAGGUUGGCGACGAUGAUUCGCACGGCCCUCUUGCAGUAGGGGGAAGACCUAAGGGUCGUUCCAUCGAUCUCUAGGCCGCCUUCAACUAGAAGGCGCGCAAGAUCCUUGGUCGCCAUGCCCACGAUGUAGUGGGCUGUCCAUCCUGUUAAAAUUGUGUUUAUGCCUCCAGGCCCACCGACCAGCUUGCUCAUUGCCUUGAGGUAGGAGUAGUCCGGGAUGUCAGGGCACAGUUCCACGAAGAUGUAGUUUUCGUGGCUAGAAGAGGUCUGCCUCGCCUUGGCCUCGGCGAUGUUGGCGCGCGUCACCUUGAUCUCCUGAGGCGGCACUGUUCUUGGUCCUGUUGGCUGUUUCCGCUGCUGGGAGCUGCGCUGCUCUCCAGGCUUGUUGGGCUGCCUUGCAGCGUGCUCAGAUGACGUUGAGGGCGAGUCGCCUGUUUCUCCUGAUGACGAUGAAGCCUUCGUUGGCGUCCACCUCCGCCAUCUCGCUGUCGGCCCAGUUGAGCGAGGCUAGUUGGCUGGAUUCUCGCUGGAAGAGGCAGCAGUCGUUGGCGCCAUGAGUAGGGAGUAAAUAGGUCCCUUUUAUUCUAGUCAUGGUAGAGUACCAUUCGGUCAGGGUUUUAGGGGGCUAUGGCCCUCAUGAGGCGCUGAUCACUGGCUUGGAGGCCUUCCGUUAAUGCUUCCACUAUGAUAGGAUUGGUUAGGCCAGUUGUAAUCCAUAGUUAUUUUUUGGCGGUAAUAGUCUCCUAAUUGGAUCUGACUAGUCAAUUUAAAAGUUAAAAAUUUGGUGAAAGUGACCUCGGAUUUUCCGGGAUAGAGGUCCAUGAGAGUUUGUUUUGCCUGACUGUAUGGCAGAGAGGCCAGAUUCAGUUCGUUGAGAGGGAGGGGGCUCACCUUUGAGUAGCGUGCUGAGCCGGGCUU